ensembl:lncRNA
CUACCUUGAAAUCAAAUUGGAAACUGAGUGGAAAAACAGUUCUCCUCUUGACCCUCUCUGCAUUUAUACUCCAAUCUACGCCCAACGCAUGGCUUUGUUGUACACUCUGUAUGAGUGCCCUCUAUAAUUAAACCUUUAUUCAAAUCUCCUCCUGCCUUCUUCAUCACCCUUGGUUAGAUCAAAACAGGAGAGGCAAAAAAAAAAGAAAAACUUGUCUGGGGUGCAGAAGCAGAGAGGAAGAGAUACUAUUUAAUGAAACAGGCUAACGGUGGUGGGGAGAGAAAGUCUCAAUUCUCCCAUCUCAGAAACAUUGAGCCUGGAAAUAUUGCUGAAAUCACAUUUGGGAACAAAGCUCCGCUUUAAGUAGGCUCACCCAUGAGUGUUGCUAAGCAAUGGAGAGAAGGCGAGAGAGGGAGAGCGCCUGACUUCAGGAUUAGAAGGAUAGAUAGAAGGAAAACCACUAAGGCUUCUAUGUAGCCUUAUUUAAAGUCAGCUUCCAAGUCCUAUGUUUUUCUUGCCUGUCUUCUGACCUAUUUGCACCACAAUUAGUCAAAUAUGGUUCAGUAUCACCACGCAUCCAGCACAGAGUUGCGCCGCGUCCUGGAGCUCUGGCACAAGCAGUUACGCACCAGAACUGUCAACAUGUCUCCACAUUGAACAGGCAUUGCCACCACUGCUGGUUUCAACACCACAAUCCCAGAGCAGCGGCAACAGAGCCCACAAAGGAACGUGGUCCUGAACAAGUCAACAGGCAUGGGUGAAAGGUCUGCAAGCAACGUCACGCUCCAAACCUCAACAGUUCACUUUUCUUUUGCACCAGUAUUUCUAUUUUUGCUCUGUGGCAAAAAUACCCAGAGGCAUUGGUUGGAGGGAUUUUUAAUCUAUGAUUUGUUUAACUUCAAAACAAUAAAUAAAAACUAAAAAUCAAUUAGAGCAGCCAGGAAGAGAGAGUGCUGCUUUUGUUGGCUGGAAAUGAAGAAGUUUAAUGUAUCCUUUCCUAAACAAACCUCCUCUAUACAUGAUUUUCUUGUAACAACAGGCAGGCUUCAAAAGACAUUUGGAGGUUUGGUUCAGGAUAGGAACCCAAAAGUUGAGAAAAUUCAGUUCUCUGCAAAACAGAGCUGGAAGUCUUGAGAACAGCAUGAGUGAAAUUUCCAGUGCUUCCCAUGUCUGCUCAAGCAGAGACAGUACUGUUAAAACAACCUCUCAGGCUGCUUUUCAGGAAACUGGCUAUUUUCUGCUGAACCAGCCAGAAACCAUUAAGUUCAAUACAUAAAAUAAUGAAAAGAGAAGUUGGCUGCCCUCAAAGGUAAACAGAGGUCAAGGUGGAGCUUGGCAUGCAGUUAUUCUUUGGUUAAAGAAAAAAGCUGCUCCAUGCAGAUCUGCUCAAAUUAAAAGAAAUAAUUUACAUAAAGUUUAUGAACUCAUCUGUUCAUCUUCCAGAAGUAAUUCAGUGGAUGAGAUUAUUAGCAGGGCCAUUAGCAGAUCUGAACUCUUUCUAGGAAAAAAAAGAUGAUUUGUAUGUCUAAUAAAAAUGAAACCAUAAUGUUCAGUUUCAAUUUGACCAACUAAUUGUAUAUAUACUUUCCAAAUUAAUAAAAAUGAACUUCAGUAGGUUCUACUCAGCAUCAAACAAGCCAUACACGUGAGAAAAUUAUGAGUUAUCAGUAAGCAAUGAGGUUAAAAUGCAGUGAAUAAAUCACUUCCAGAACCUAGAAAAGAUUCUGCAGGAUAUCUCAUCCAGACAGGUUUGCUAUUCCUUCACUGACAGUACUACAUCCUCUGCAGCCCUAACAGCUCCUGUGUUUAGACACCCAGGGAAAGGGUUGGGCAUAUUCAUAGCAUAAAUGAAUAGCAGGAAUGACAGACAAACAAAUGUUCUUUCAGAGGCCUUGACUGACCGACCUCCUUCACAGGCCUCAAUACAAAAUCCACUGAUUGAGCACAGGUGCUCAAAACCAGUAUUUGCAGGCCUCAAGUUUUAGAGCACAUAGAUGGAGUUAAUAAAACUACCAGGACUCAGACACUAAGUACAGUUUUCCUCUUUUCCUUCUCACCCUGCAGACAAUCCCAUUUUAAUUACUGCCUAACUCUCCACAUAACUUCAUUCCUCACUGUACUCUUCAUUAUUCUCUUUUCUAGCCUCUUUCUCACCCCAAGGCAAGACUGAGAAAGCAAGGACUGUCAGAGAAAGAAGUUGGAGGGGAAGCCCUUCCCCAGCAGCCUGGGACAGAACAGAACAGGUUUUCAGAAAUCCCCUGCUUUCUCAUCUCAGACAGUGCCAGAGCAAAUAGCCAGAGAAAGCAAACACCUGAGCCCACGGCCAGGCUCCCCCUCACACACCCCACCGGCCUCCGCAGGCUGGUGGAUGCGAUCAGACAUGUUCCUAGCUCCAAGGGAUCCCUGAGUGAUAGAUUUUACAUCUCAACCUUCCAAAAGAAAGGUGAAGGUGAUCAAUCAGAAGUGCUAUUCGUUAUCAGUCCUAAGAGCUGCUUACGGUGCUACUGGCGGGAGGUGUAUUUUAAAUUUCAUCACCCACUGGAUAUCUGUCUUCUGCCUCUGUUAAUUCCCAAGGCUGAUCAGAGCAAUCUAGCUAUACCUAUGGCCUAGAGAGAUUUUGGAGCAGUGCAAGUCAAAACACCCUUGCCUUGCAAAAACAUUAAAAAUAGAUACUUUGAUUGCACUUAAAAAGGAAGCAUGCUUUGACCCAGACAAGUCCAGGCUAGAUUGCCCAUGACCUUGACUAAUCUUUUCUUGGCAUGUUUUUGAGUGCAUCAUCUCCCUUGAGCACAGCACAUGCAGCACUCCCAGUUCCUAAUGCAGCUCUUUUUUUUCCCCCAGGCAUGCUCAGAUGAAGAAUUUGAAGCUAGGUUUUCCUUUAAGGGCAAGGGAGGACUAGAAGUUUAGAUAUCCACAGUAAAAUUCUGGGG